rnacentral:rRNA from 1 species
AUUGAACGCUGGCGGCAGGCUUAACACAUGCAAGUCGAACGGUAGCAGGAGAAAGCUUGCUUUCUUGCUGACGAGUGGCGGACGGGUGAGUAAUGCUUGGGAAUCUGGCUUAUGGAGGGGGAUAACGACGGGAAACUGUCGCUAAUACCGCGUAUUAUCGGAAGAUGAAAGUGCGGGACUGAGAGGCCGCAUGCCAUAGGAUGAGCCCAAGUGGGAUUAGGUAGUUGGUGGGGUAAAUGCCUACCAAGCCUGCGAUCUCUAGCUGGUCUGAGAGGAUGACCAGCCACACUGGAACUGAGACACGGUCCAGACUCCUACGGGAGGCAGCAGUGGGGAAUAUUGCGCAAUGGGGGGAACCCUGACGCAGCCAUGCCGCGUGAAUGAAGAAGGCCUUAGGGUUGUAAAGUUCUUUCGGUAUCGAGGAAGGUUGAUGUGUUAAUAGCACAUCAAAUUGACGUUAAAUACAGAAGAAGCACCGGCUAACUCCGUGCCAGCAGCCGCGGUAAUACGGAGGGUGCGAGCGUUAAUCGGAAUAACUGGGCGUAAAGGGCACGCAGGCGGUUAUUUAAGUGAGGUGUGAAAGCCCCGGGCUUAACCUGGGAAUUGCAUUUCAGACUGGGUAACUAGAGUACUUUAGGGAGGGGUAGAAUUCCACGUGUAGCGGUGAAAUGCGUAGAGAUGUGGAGGAAUACCGAAGGCGAAGGCAGCCCCUUGGGAAUGUACUGACGCUCAUGUGCGAAAGCGUGGGGAGCAAACAGG